rnacentral:rRNA from 1 species
UACGGAAGGCAGCAGUGGGGAAUAUUGCACAAUGGGCGCAAGCCUGAUGCAGCCAUGCCGCGUGUAUGAAGAAGGCCUUCGGGUUGUAAAGUACUUUCAGUCGUGAGGAAGGUGUUAAGGUUAAUAACCUUAGCAAUUGACGUUAGCGACAGAAGAAGCACCGGCUAACUCCGUGCCAGCAGCCGCGGUAAUACGGAGGGUGCGAGCGUUAAUCGGAAUUACUGGGCGUUAAAGGGCACGCAGGCGGUUAAUUAAGUUGGAUGUGAAAUCCCCGGGCUUAACCUGGGAAUGGCAUUCAAGACUGGUUAGCUAGAGUCUUGUAGAGGGGGUAGAAUUCCAUGUGUAGCGGUGAAAUGCGUAGAGAUGUGGAGGAAUACCGGUGGCGAAGGCGGCCCCUGGACAAAGACUGACGCUCAUGUGCGAAAGCGUGGGGAGCAAAC